rnacentral:rRNA from 1 species
AUUGAACGCUGGCGGCAGGCCUAACACAUGCAAGUCGAGCGAGAGGCGGACGGGUGAGUAAUGUAUGGGGAACUGCCUGAUGGAGGGGGAUAACUACUGGAAACGGUGGCUAAUACCGCAUACCAUCGGAUGUACCCAGAUGGGAUUAGCUAGUAGGUGGGGUAAAGGCUCACCUAGGCGACGAUCUCUAGCUGGUCUGCGAGGAUGAUCAGCCACACGGGGACUGAGACACGGUCCAGACUCCGACGGGAGGCAGCAGUGGGGAAUAUUGCACAAUGGGCGCAAGCCUGAUGCAGCCAUGCCGCGUGUAUGAAGAAGGCCUUAGGGUUGUAAAGUACUUUCAGCGGGGAGGCGUUACCCGCAGAAGAAGCACCGGCUAACUCCGUGCCAGCAGCCGCGGUAAUAC